UACGUAGGGUGCAAGCGUUUGUCCGGAAUUAUUGGGCGUAAAGAGCUCGUAGGCGGUUUGUCGCGUCUGCUGUGAAAACCCGAGGCUCAACCUCGGGCCUGCAGUGGGUACGGGCAGACUAGAGUGCGGUAGGGGAGAUUGGAAUUCCUGGUGUAGCGGUGGAAUGCGCAGAUAUCAGGAGGAACACCAAUGGCGAAGGCAGAUCUCUGGGCCGUAACUGACGCUGGAGGAGCGAAAGCGUGGGGAGCAAACAGG
rnacentral:rRNA from 1 species